rnacentral:rRNA from 1 species
GUAAUUCCGGUGAAGAUGCCGGAUACCUGCGACAGGACGGAAAGACCCCAUGGAGCUUUACUGUAGCUUGACAUUGGGUCUUGGUACUACAUGUACAGGAUAGGUGGGAGGCUUUGAAACCAGGACGACAGUUUUGGCGGAGCCAUCCUUGGGAUACCACCCUUGUAGUACUGGGACUCUAACCAUAGGCCAUGAAUCUGGUCUUGGGACACUGUCAGGUGGGCAGUUUGACUGGGGCGGUCGCCUCCCAAAAGGUAACGGAGGCGCUCAAAGGGUCUCUCAGUACGGUCGGAAAUCGUACGUAGAGUGUAAAGGCAAAAGAGAGCUUGAUUGCAAGACAUACAGGUCGAGCAAGGAUGAAAAUCGGACUUAGUGAUCCGGUGGUUCUGCGUGGAAGGGCCAUCG